AUAGUGGAGUUCGAAAGGCGUUGUGAAAGUUCGUCCGCUGGAGGAGUGUUGAAUUCAAUUCUAUUGUAGAAGUUCAUAUGGAGUCCGAUUCUUGUAGGAGUCCGGAAGGAGGUUGCUUACUGUAGAAGCUCAGAUGAAGAUCGGUUGUCGUAGAAGCUCGGAUGGAGACUUCUUAUUGUAGAAGCUCGGAUAAAAUCCGCUUGCAAUAGAAGUUCGGAG
rnacentral:lncRNA from 1 species